GGGGACGAGUGGUUUCGACAGGAGAGUCUUUUGUUAGAUCGCAAGCCGAGAGUGCUGUCAGCUCGUUAAAUGAUGGCAAAAACAUAAACAGCGACAGAGAAUUCGCUUUAGCCGCUUAAUUUAGUGGCUACGUCUGCCUAAGGUUGAGCUCGGGGGUUUUAGGACAGGCGCCAAUAACCUGAGAUGCUACUUUCAUUAUUCUGGCGAAUGGGAGUAAAAGAAACAGUCAGAUUACUCUAGGUUAAUUUUGUCGGUGGAACUUCCCUGGAGGACAUUUUGAACAUCGAACAAGCUUGUAGCAUAUCUAGGCAUUGGGCCUUUUGGACGGGGAGUUCGACCCUCCCCCGUCUCCACCA
rnacentral:tmRNA from 1 species